CCCACUUGUGAAGAUGCAGAGGCCAGAGAGUGGAAGGUACUCAGGAGCCCUGCCCACGAUGAAAGCCUGUCCAGCGUUUGAUGAGCUCUUCUUUCCACCUGCUCCUGCCCAGUGAUGAAACUGUGGGCUACUAGCCCCAUUUCACAGAAAAGAAAACAGAGGUUCCAAGAGGCUUGUGAGUGGCUGAGUCCCUGAGCUCCAGCUAGAACCUUACAACUCAAGUAACUGUUGGCGCCUACCCAACACUUGAAGUUGAGGUCUAGGAGCCAAAGGAACCCCAGACCUUGGGGUGGGAGAAGGCUCUGUUGAAAAAUGGACUCAUCUGAGCUCCUAGAAUCUGGAUUCUUC
rnacentral:lncRNA from 1 species